rnacentral:rRNA from 1 species
GAUGAACGCUGGCGGCGUGCCUAAUACAUGCAAGUCGAGCGAACAGACGAGGAGCUUGCUCCUCUGACGUUAGCGGCGGACGGGUGAUUAACACGUGGAUAACCUACCUAUCAGACUUUGAUAAUUUCGGGAAACCGGAGCUAAUACCAGAUAAUAUAUUGAACCGCAUGGUUCAAUAGUGAAAGACGGUUUUGCUGUCACUUAUAGAUGGAUCCGCGCCGCAUUAGCUAGUUGGUAAGUUAACGGCUUACCAAGGCAACGAUGCUGAGCCGACCUGAGGGGGUGAUCGGCCACCCUGGAACUGAGAAACGGUCCCGACGCCUACGGGAGGCAGCAGUAGGGAAUGUUCCGCAAUGGGCGAAAGCAUGACGGAGCAACGCCGCGUGAGUGAUGAAGGUCUUCGGAUCGUAAAACUCUGUUAUUAGGGAAGAACAAAUGUGUAAGUAACUAUGCACGUCUUGACGGUACCUAAUCAGAAAGCCACGGCUAACUACGUG